rnacentral:rRNA from 1 species
GAUGAACGCUAGCGACAGGCUUAACACAUGCAAGUCGAGGGGCAGCAUGAUUUGUAGCAAUACAGAUUGAUGGCGACCGGCGCACGGGUGAGUAACGCGUAUGCAACUUACCUAUCAGAGGGGGAUAGCCCGGCGAAAGUCGGAUUAAUACCCCAUAAAACAGGGGUCCCGCAUGGGAAUAUUUGUUAAAGAUUCAUCGCUGAUAGAUAGGCAUGCGUUCCAUUAGGCAGUUGGCGGGGUAACGCCCACCAAACCGACGAUGGAUAGGGGUUCUGAGAGGAA